UGUGAGGGAGGUGCCAUGGACCCCGGGAUGAGCAAGCGUCCCCAGUGCUCACAGUGGGACACUUAGAGCCACAGGCUCAUCCCACAUGUGAAGUGUGUCAUGCUUCGGCUCAGUGCAGAUGAACUCUUGGAUGCCGGAGACACGUGUUAGGAGAGCCGCUGGGAAGAGAAGGUGGGGGGGUGAUUUGUUUUGCUGCAGUAGAACUUGCCGUAUUUCCAGAAGUUUCCAUCGAGGCCCAGCACCCUGCAGCAGACCCCUUGUGUCCAGGGGCAUUUCUGCAGUGUCUUCAGUCCUGGGAGUUGGGGAAGACGGGCUUCCUGUUUAUCUUUCAUCUCUGUCUCUCCUUCUGAGAAAGGAACGUCGGCUUCUGAGUGGUCUGCUAAGAACUGGGGCUGCAGCCUACCUGGAGGGAGAAAAGCAUUGAGGUUUCCGACCCGGAUUGUCUACUGAGACCAACUCUGCUCGGGAAGCCUGCCUCCUAUUGAUCCACUCCUCUCCAUGUCUUCAAUAUUUAAUAAUGCAUUUUGCUAUUUGGUGGAGUUUUCAGAAGCCCAAGCUGACAUCUCUUUGUGUACAAAUGUGCAUAUAUUUAAGGAUUAAUCUAGUGAUGCUUGCAGUCUCCUGCAUGUACUGCCUUGGGACUCUUCAGGGCACCUUGUGACAUGAAUGAAGGGAACCCUGAAUAAAAGACACCAUUGAUGUGGCCCUGGCUUCUGUCCCUUACAUGGAGAACACACCUUUUGUCCUCUCCUUGUGGGGUAAAGCAUAUCCCUCCUCACCUCAUUCUCACCAAGACUUUAAGUUCUUCGGCAACCUUCAACACAAAUAAAAACAAGGACUUCCUUUUAUUUCGAGCGUUCGUGCUGGACAAAGGGCGGAAGAACUCAGAGGGAACAAAUGCUCCCAGCUGAGGAGGUGAGGAGGCGUGAGAAGUCAAACCAGGAAGAAAAGCAGGGCUUGAGAAAGAAGAGGAGGAGUCCAGCGAUCGUGGAGGAGGGCCGGUUUAGCAGAGCCCUUUCAAGGCCUGAGCUGACCAGAAACAAAAGGCACUUGACACAUUUUAAAGAAAAAUAAAAUUAGUAAAUUAAACCAGCCUGUUUAUCGACCUCCAGUGAAUGUCAGGGUUUUCUACCCUUGGUCUCACAAGCAAACUCAGCGAUUGCCUUGGUUAAAACGAUGAAGAAAAAUGAAAAGAAUGGGAUGCAGUUAAGUUUCUCAGCUAAGGUAGACACGUAGCUAAAAUCAUUGCUGGAAAAGCAUUUGAUCAGGCUUUGAAAUGUUGUGUGUAGUGACUGACUAGCUGCAGAAAUGGGUAUUUUGAAGGACCAUCUGGAAAAGAUAGAAUUAAAAUUAAAAACGGAGAGGGGCUGGAGAGACGGCUUAACAGUUAGCAGUGCUUGUGGCGCUUCCAGCGGAACCAACGUCACCCCACCAUAUUCCCAUAUCCGGCCGCGGCGGCGGCUCUCAAUUGCCUGCAACUCCAGCUCCAGGGUAUCUACUACCUUCUUCAGGACUCCAGGAGCUCUUCACCUGCCCUCUUCCCCCAUUCUUAAAAAAAACCAAAAUGUGUUUUCAGCAGACCAAAGGGAGGAGAUGGUGUUAGUCUUUGCAGGGAUGAGAGUACAGGAGUCUGAACGGUUUUUAAUUUGCCAAGUUUUGAGCUGUGAGUUUUUCCUUGAUGUGGUUUCCAGGAAGGAUUACAGGUUAGCCUUUGUGAGAAGCACCGUUUUAUUAUAAAGU